AACGAACGCUGGCGGCAUGCCUAACACAUGCAAGUCGAACGAGAACUUCGGGUCUAGUGGCGCACGGGUGCGUAACGCGUGGGAACCUGCCUUUAGGUUCGGAAUAACUCAGAGAAAUUUGAGCUAAUACCGGAUGAUGUCUUCGGACCAAAGAUUUUUCGCCUUUGGAUGGGCCCGCGUUGGAUUAGCUAGUUGGUGGGGUAAAGGCCUACCAAGGCGACGAUCCAUAGCUGGUCUGAGAGGAUGAUCAGCCACACUGGGACUGAGACCCGGCCCAGACUCCGACGGGAGGCAGCAGUGGGGAAUAUUGGACACUGGGCGAAAGCCUGAUCCAGCAAUGCCGCGUGAGUGAUGAAUGCCUUAGGGUUGUAAAUCUCUUUUACCCGAGAUGAUAAUGACGGUAUCGGGAGAAUAAGCUCCGGCUAACUCCGUG
rnacentral:rRNA from 1 species